rnacentral:rRNA from 1 species
CCUACGGGAGGCAGCAGUGGGGAAUAUUGGACAAUGGGGAGAACCCUGAUCCAGCCAUGCCGCGUGUGUGAAGAAGGCCCUCGGGUUGUAAAGCACUUUCAGUGAGGAAGAACGCCUGGUGGUUAAUACCCAUCAGGAAAGACAUCACUCACAGAAGAAGCACCGGCUAACUCCGUGCCAGCAGCCGCGGUAAUACGGAGGGUGCGAGCGUUAAUCGGAAUUACUGGGCGUAAAGCGCGCGUAGGUGGCUUGAUAAGCCGGUUGUGAAAGCCCCGGGCUCAACCUGGGAACGGCAUCCGGAACUGUCAAGCUAGAGUGCAGGAGAGGAAGGUAGAAUUCCCGGUGUAGCGGUGAAAUGCGUAGAGAUCGGGAGGAAUACCAGUGGCGAAGGCGGCCUUCUGGACUGACACUGACACUGAGGUGCGAAAGCGUGGGUAGCAAACAGGAUUAGAUACCCUAGUAGUC